CUGCCACUAGGGAAGGAUCUCUGGUUGGAGAUUCCUCCUGUGUGGAGUUUUCUCUGUUAGCCUUGAUCUUUGGUGACAGGCAUCUGUAAGGAGCUGAGAAGCAUGCAACUCCAGGACUGAAACCAGGGAGCAAACCGAAGUUCACAGCUGCUGUGCGUUCAGCAUCUAACAAAGAUUUGGCUGACAGCACCCUCCUCGCUUCACGUGCGUGCAUCCUCUGAAUGCAGUAUCGCACGCUAAUAGGAAACCUCUCCCUCCAGCAGCGCCCCAAAAUGUCGACGCCAGCUCAGCGGGCCGCCAGCGCUGCGGCACCACAGCGCCCCCUAGCGACGGAGGACCGGGCUGUGUCUGACGAGGACGCACCUGGGGAGCGCGGGGGGCGUAAUGCGGCCCCGAGGGCAGUUGGUGCCAUUAGGGUUAUCCACGUGUACGGGCAACGGGGUUGAGUAGGAGCCCUGGGCCCAGAGAAGCAGUGGGCUUGCUUCUGCUCAUCGCCUCAGAAGGAGUGACUAGAGUGAGACAGGUCACAGCUUCUUUUUCCUCCCUCCGUCUCAGUGUGUCCUAACAACAUCUGUUUGGUUUUGUUUGGCUUUCUUUUUUUGUACUGACUUUGGAGAUGCCUGCUUUCUCCGUAAAGCUCCCCUGGAAGAGAUGCAGAAGCAGUUGCAGGCUUCUGCCUCGAGUUGUGUGCAGACAGGUGGGUUCCUGUCCCAACUAGCAGCCCUUCCAAGCCGGUUCUGUUGCAAAGCAGUCACCAGGAUUGCCCCCCAUUCUUUGCUCUGUGCACCUCUAAAGCAAUUAAUUUGUUCACUGCCUUUGACUCGGUGGCAGAAAUUGAAAUCUGCCCUGAAAUCAUCAAAAUAUAUGACAAAUAAAGUUGAUGGGAGCAGGUUUAACAAAGUGUUGCUUUUGUUGGGGGAAGAGUGCCAAGAAUAUAUCGUGUUUCCAAAUAGAGCUAAUGCUGCUCCUAACAAAGUAGAAGAAAAGAGGAUUGCUCCUUGCUCAAUGACUGUGCAUGCUAUUUAUGUUUGUUUAUACCAUGACAGAACUUUGAAUGAAUUAGACUUGAGAUGGCCCAGCUGGAAAAUUUGGCUAGUGGGUGGAUCAGAGCAGGGAACUGUAGAAGCAUGAAAAAAAAAAAAAGUACCCAACAGAAAUGGAAUACUGAAAGAAAGAGAGAAGGGGAGUUUGAAGAAGAAGAGCCUCAGAUGCUAUUGUAGGAACUACAUUAAAGAAAAUUUCUGCUUGAAGAAAGGAAGUCCCGUGAAGAUCUCUAAGCUUUGGGGAGCUGUCUGUAUAAUUCUCAUAGUUGUUUGAAGAUUCCAACGUACCAAAACCUUUGCAUUUUUUUGCUUCUUUUCAUAAACCUGUAUUCAUACGUUUGUUAUAUUAAUUAUGCAUCUUUACAAAGUAAUAAUAAUUUUACUAAUUUAACUCCUUAAAACUUAGGGGAUGGUGGAAUUAAGGUUGUCAAUGGAAGCUUGCACCCUUUGCAAGUGCUUUUCAGUGUUACCUUCAGCACCUCUUUGCCCACAGGAUCCUUGCUUCGUUCAGCAAUGAGAGCGGGGAGUACCGCAAGUGUUCUGGGAGGAACCAGGCUGUUGGGAAGUGAUAUGGUUGUUAGUAGGGUACGAGAUAUAAGAGAAGCAUAGGUUGUAAAAAUAGGGGUUUGUAUAAGAGCACCUGAGGUCUUUGUGACUACAGGAUAUUUGGGAUUCUCGGCCUGAGCAUCAUCUGGGGGAUUUCAGUAUGCAGAGGAUGAGGAGAGCUGAGGAGCUUUGCUGAGAAGAGAGGGUAGAAGCAGUCCAGUACUACAUGCUGUGAAAGCAGCAGGGCCAGAAUGCUUUAACAGCUGGGAAGGAGGGCAAGGAGUAGGUAUUUACCCUGGACAUGCUUCUGUCACCUCCAGCUGUGCUGGCUUUAGUUUAUUUUGGAGCAAAAUCCAGUAAUAUAAUGGCAGAUUUCCAAUCCUCUUAUGGAACAGACAAUGUGUCCUAAAAAGACCUCAAUCAUUUUUGCUGUUAAAACAUUUUAAGAGAUGUGCUUCUGUAUGUAGCUGUGUUUCCUCUGAACUCUGCCAUGCAGAGGAUGUUUCAUUGGAACAGCUGCCUUUUAUUUUUCACAUCUUGAUGGCUCAGAUUUAAAAAAAUAAAGUAAAUAUUAAGUAAAUAUAAUAUUCAUUUGAGUAAUGAAUGUAAAAACAUACACAGUUUCAAAAUACCUUAAUGCAUGAAACCA